AAAUAAUUAAGGGCGUAUGGUGGAUGCCUAGGCUCUCAGAGGCGAAGAAGGACGUGAUAAGCUGCGAAAAGCUCCGUUUAGGUGCAAAUAACCUUUGAUGCGGAGAUCUCCGAAUGGGAUAACCCAAUAUGUUGAAGACAUAUUAUACCGUAAGGUAGGCAAACGCAGGGAACUGAAACAUCUAAGUACCUGCAGGAGAAGAAAACAAACGUGAUUCCCCCAGUAGCGGCGAGCGACCGGGGAAAAGCCCAAACCGUUAUUGUUUCGGCAUUAACGGGGUAGUAGGACUGCAAGCUUGAUGAAAUAAAUGAAAUGGAACACCUUGGAAAAUGUGAUCACAGAGGGUGAUAAUCCCGUACAUGCAAGUUUAUGAAUCAUAGCAGACUCCUGAGUAAGUCGGGACACGUGUAAUCCUGACCGAAUCCGCCGGGACCAUCCGGCAAGGCUAAAUACUCCUGAGAGACCGAUAGUGAACCAGUACCGUGAGGGAAAGGUGAAAAGCACUUCGAACAGAAGAGUGAAAUAGUCCCUGAACCCAUACGCCUACAAGCUGUCGGAGCCGCUUCGUGCGGUGACGGCGUGCCUUUUGCAUAAUGAGCCUACGAGUUACUCAUCACCAGCGAGGUUAAGUACUUCAGGUACGUAAGCCGAAGCGAAAGCGAGUCUGAAUAGGGCGUCAAGUUGGUGGUGGUAGACGCGAAACCUUAGUGAUCUACCCAUGGGCAGGGUGAAGGUUUGGUAACACAAACUGGAGGCCCGAACCGGUAAACGUUGAAAAGUUUUCGGAUGACCUGUGGGUAGGGGUGAAAGGCCAAUCAAACUGGGAAAUAGCUCGUACUCUCCGAAAUGCAUUUAGGUGCAGCCUCUGUUGUUUUGUUCUAGAGGUAGAGCUACUGAUUGGAUGCGAGGGCUUCACCGCCUAUCAAAUCCGGCCAAACUCCGAAUGCUAGAACAUGAAGACAGGGAGUGAGCCAGCGGGUGCUAAGGUCCGUUGACGAAAGAGGGAGAACUCAGACCAUCAGCUAAGGUCCCCAAUUAUAUGCUAAGUUGGAAUUAAAACGGGGUGGGACUGCUUAGACAGCUAGGAUGUUGGCUUGGAAGCAGCCAUUCAUUUAAAGAGUGCGUAACAGCUCACUAGUCGAGCGGUCCUGCAUGGAUAAUACGCGGGCAUAAGCAUAUAACCGAAGCUAUGGGAUUGUAGAUGAUACAAUCGGUAGGAGAGCAUUCCAUUCAGCAUAGAAGCAGUACCGUGAGGUAUUGUGGAGCGGAUGGAAAAGCAAAUGUAGGCAUAAGUAACGAUAAUGCGGGUGAGAACCCCGCACGCCGAAAGAUCAAGGAUUCCCCGGCAAUGUCAAUCAUCCGGGGGUAAGUCGGAUCCUAAGGGUAAGCCGAGUGGCGAUCCCGAUGGCAAACAGGUUAAUAUUCCUGUACUGAUCAUAACUGCGAUGCAGCGACGCAGAGGUGACACUGCUGCGUACUGACGGAAUAGUACGUUGAAACCCGUAUUCUUUGAUACCGGUAGUGAAGCACGCCGGUAGAGAUGAAAGGUGAUAGUACCGCAAUGCUUCGGUUGCGCGGAUAAUGCAGGUAAGCUGACUGCCAAGAAAACCUGCUAAGCUUCAGGUAAUGAUCAUCCGUACUGUAAACGGACACACGUGAUCAGGUAGAAAAUACUAAGGCGCUCGAGAGAUUCAUGGUUAAGGAACUAGGCAAAAUGGUCCUGUAACUUCGGGAUAAAGGACGCUCUUGUGAAAGAGCCGCAGAUAAUAGGCCCAGGCGACUGUUUACCAAAAACACAUGGCUAUGCUAAUUCGCAAGAAGAUGUAUAUGGCCUGACACCUGCCCGGUGCCGGAAGGUUAAGAGGAGAGCUCAGAGGCAACUCGAAGGUUUGAAUUGAAGCCCCGGUAAACGGCGGCCGUAACUAUAACGGUCCUAAGGUAGCGAAAUUCCUUGUCGGGUAAGUUC
rnacentral:rRNA from 1 species